AAUCAACGCUGGCGGCGUGCCUAAUACAUGCAAGUCGAACGGGGAAAGCUUUCGGGUGAGUACUAGUGGCGCACGGGUGAGUAGCGCGUGGAUAAUCUGCCUUAGAGUGGGGGAUAACUAGUCGAAAGAUUAGCUAAUACCGCAUAAGACCACAAGAACUGCGGUUCAAGGGGUCAAAGGUUUUUCGCUCUAAGAUGAGUCCGCGUAAGAUUAGCUAGUUGGUAGGGUAACGGCCUACCAAGGCGACGAUCUUUAACUGGUCUGAGAGGAUGAUCAGUCACACUGGAACUGAGACACGGUCCAGACUCCUACGGGAGGCAGCAGUAGGGAAUAUUGCACAAUGGAGGAAACUCUGAUGCAGCGACGCCGCGUGAGUGAUGAAGGCCUUCGGGUCGUAAAGCUCUGUCGCAGGGGAAUAACACAAUGAAGGUACCCUGUAAGAAAGGAUCGGCUAACUUCGUGCCAGCCGCCGCCGUAAUAC
rnacentral:rRNA from 1 species